rnacentral:rRNA from 1 species
GACGAACGCUGGCGGCGUGCCUAAUACAUGCAAGUAGAACGCUGAAGGAGGAGCUUGCUUCUCUGGAUGAGUUGCGAACGGGUGAGUAACGCGUAGGUAACCUGCCUGGUAGCGGGGGAUAACUAUUGGAAACGAUAGCUAAUACCGCAUAACAGUAGAUAUCGCAUGAUAGCUACUUGAAAGGUGCAAUUGCACCACUACCAGAUGGACCUGCGUUGUAUUAGCUAGUUGGUGAGGUAACGGCUCACCAAGGCAACGAUACAUAGCCGACCUGAGAGGGUGAUCGGCCACACUGGGACUGAGACACGGCCCAGACUCCUACGGGAGGCAGCAGUAGGGAAUCUUCGGCAAUGGACGGAAGUCUGACCGAGCAACGCCGCGUGAGUGAAGAAGGUUUUCGGAUCGUAAAGCUCUGUUGUAAGAGAAGAACGAGUGUGAGAGUGGAAAGUUCACACUGUGACGGUAUCUUACCAGAAAGGGACGGCUAACUACGUGCCAGCAGCCGCGGUAAUACGUAGGUCCCGAGCGUUGUCCGGAUUUAUUGGGCGUAAAGCGAGCGCAGGCGGUUAGAUAAGUCUGAAGUUAAAGGCUGUGGCUUAACCAUAGUACGCUUUGGAAACUGUUUAACUUGAGUGCAAGAGGGGAGAGUGGAAUUCCAUGUGUAGCGGUGAAAUGCGUAGAUAUAUGGAGGAACACCGGUGGCGAAAGCGGCUCUCUGGCUUGUAACUGACGCUGAGGCUCGAAAGCGUGGGGAGCAAACAGG